GAGCUUUACUGUAGCUUGAUAUUGAGUAUUUGUUAAACAUGUACAGGAUAGGUAGGAGCCAGAGAAAGUAGGACGCUAGUCUUACUGGAGGCAAUGUUGGGAUACUACCCUUGUUUGAUGGAUCCUCUAACUCGCAGAGCUGAGCGUUCUGGAGGACAGUGUCAGGUGGGCAGUUUGACUGGGGCGGUCGCCUCCUAAAAGGUAACGGAGGCGCCCAAAGGNAUCAUUCGCAGAGUGUAAAGGUAUAAGGGAGCUUGACUGCGAGAGGUACACCUCGAGCAGGGACGAAAGUCGGGCUUAGUGAUCUGGUGGUACUGCAUGGAAAGGCCAUCACUCAACGGAUAAAAGCUACCCUGGGGAUAACAGGCUUAUCUCCCCCAAGAGUUCACAUCGACGGGGAGGUUUGGCACCUCGAUGUCGGCUCAUCGCAUCCUGGGGCUGUAGUCGGUCCCAAGGGUUGGGCUGUUCGCCCAUUAAAGCGGUACGCGAGCUGGGUUC
rnacentral:rRNA from 1 species